rnacentral:lncRNA from 1 species
AUUUUUCAUAUAUAUGUAUAUAUACACAUACACAGAAGUACAGAGAACAAUAUAAGAACCCUCAUAUACCCAUCCAUGUAGCUUCAAAAAUUACCAACUCUUAGCCAAGAAUUUAUUAGGAUUUGAAUAAUUUUUGUGCUGUGUGAACCAUGCACCAAGUCCCAAGCUAGGAUCUAGGGAUCUAAAGAUGAAUCAGAUUUGACUAUAAUGCAACCUGGAAAAUAUAACACAUGACUUUGGUCCCUGAAAGACGAGUAAGAGUUGACCAGAAGAAGAAAGAUGUUUUCAUUCAUGCAGUCAUUCUCUCUCCAGAAAUAAUUAUUACAUGGGAGGCACUGUCCUUGGUGCUAGGAGCUCAUUGGGUCCCUGCCCUCAGGAAGCUUGCAUCGCAGAAGAAGGAGAUGUUGAACGAGUGAUGGGAAGUGUGAUGACUGCUUGGAAGGAGGGGCACAGGAUGCUCUGGAGUGGACCAACUUUGGCCUGGGGAGGUUUGGGGAGGCUUUCAUGAGCAAGUGGCACUUAUGUGAGAGGAAAGAGCGAAGGAGACAGAGGUCACCCAGGAGAAGAGAGGGUGAUUCCAAGUCAGAGGGGAAGUACAAGAAGGCCAGAUGAGUGUGGCAGCGGAGAGGAACGCAGAAGGCGAGGUGGGCAGGUGGACAGGUGCCAGAUCAAGGAGGGCUUUGUAUGGUAGGCUUAGCGUUUGGAACUUUAUUUUAAGGGCAAUGGGAAAGUCAGCAGAGGGUUUGGGGGCGGGAGGGGCAUGUUCACCCUGCAUUUUAGGUCAAUUCUGGCUGCUAAGUGGAGAAUAGACAGGAGUGGCAGGGUGGGGACCGAUCAGAAAGCAGCAAAUGCAGUUUAGGUAGAUGACUGUAGCUGGGGGGAGUAAGGAUGGAGAAAAUUGUGUAGGUUUAAUAACUAUUCAGGAAGUAGAAUUCACAAAAAUUAGUGCUCAGUUGAUUGAAUGGCUGCGGUAAGGAAAGGGUGGCUUCCAUAUUUUUGCUUGAGCAAAAACAAAACAAAACAAAAAUCCAGAAAUAUCACCCCUUUACAAACAGCCCACCAAAAUGCUUGUCCUGCCAGUCCCUUUGAGCAGAGGGGCUACCAUAUCCAGGGAGGUCUCUUUAGGUAACCAGAAGCUCACAGAUAGAAUGGUGAUGGUAGGGAGAAGAAUCUAAUUAGCAAAAAGUAAAACGUUUGACCCACACAGUCUUUCUGAGUCCCUGAUCUCCUAGGUCUGCAAAUCCUCCUGUCGAUGGUGAGUCAGCCUGUGCCCUUCACUCAUCCUUUCUCUGUUGCAGCUCAUCCCUCUUCUAAUGCUUUCCAUGGCCUAGGAGCCACCAAUGGCCUAGGAGCCACCUCAGAUGCUAUGUGUGGUUUUGGUCAAUGUGGGUCCCUCUGAGGCAGCAGUCUUAAAAUUAUUACCUUGGACCCAUCAGGAAAAACUUGAAUUAGAAGCAAAUCCCGAGUUCCUGUCAUGGCACAGUGGAAACGAAUCUGACUAGGAACCAUGAGGUUGCAGGUUCCAUCCCUGGCCUUGCUCAGUGGGUUGAGGAUCUGGGGUUGCCGUGAGCUAUAGUGUAGGUUGCAGAUGCGGCUUGGAUCUGGCGUUGCUGUGGCUCUGGUGUAGGCCAGCGGCUGUAGCUCCGUUUAGACCCCUAGCCUGGGAACCUCCACAUGCCGUGGGUGUGGCCCUAGAAGACAAAACGACGAAAAGAAAAAAAGGAAGAAGAAGCAAAUCCAUGCAGAAUCAUUGACCAAGAGUACUGGCUUUAUGCGAUUUGGCAUGGCAGAUCAGCCUGGCAGACGUCUGCGUUACCAGGCAGGUGAUAGCCAAGUCACCUACAGGGAGGCAUAGAGCUUUCAACUUUACUAGCAUCGAAGACACUAAUGGGGCAAAGGCAGCCUUUUCUACCGCUCUAUUAAGUAUUGCUUCGAUAUGGUAAUUGUUCUUUUUUUAAUGUAGUGGAUUUACAGUCUUGCGUCAAUUUCUGCUGCUCAGCAUAGUGACCCGGUCACACAAAUUUGUACGUUCGUUUACUCCUACUGUCCGCCGUCAUGUCUCCCCCGGAGCCCGGAUGUGGUCCCCUGUGCUGUUGGGUAGGACCGCAUUGCGUAUCCAUUCUAAGUAUAAAUAGUUUGCAUUUGUCCAUCCCACUGCCCCGCCACCCCUCGGCAACCACACGUCCGUUCUCCACGUCCGUGAGUCUGUUUCUGUUUUGUAAAUAGGGUCUGUUGUGCCAUAUUUUAGAUUCCACGUGUAGGUGAUACAUGGUAUUUGUCUUUCUCUUUCUGACUUACUUCACUUAGUAUGAGAGUCUCUAGUCGCAUGAUACUGUAAUUUCUCUCGUGAUGGAUCCAAUGAACCUAUUUUCUUCAGGGUGGUUGGUAUCAUUUGGGAACUCUCUAAGUAGUAAAUUCUUCUCACAUAUUCUGUGCAACUGAAUUCAUAAGUCGGAUGAUAGGCCUGGCAAAGCCUCCCUCAAUACCCUGCUUUAACAGGACUCUUCUAGUAUGUUCCCAGGAAGACCAUACCGGGUGAGAGGAGGAAGGGACGGAGGCCUGAACCCGGGACAGCAGCAUUUGGUAAGCCAUAUGGGAAAAGAAGGCUGAAGAAAGCUGAGACGAAGCAGAGAGCAGAAGGGUCAGGAGCGCGUCGUGUCGGGGAAGAGCGCCAAGGGAGGGGAGCCGAUCAAGGGAGAAGACGCGGUCGACAGCCGCAAGCGCAGCCAAGAUUUCCCGCAAGGUCAAGGUGAAAAAAUAUCCUUUGAAUUUGGCAGCGUGGAGGUCAUGGAUUCCCCAUGAUGAUAAGAUGGGGAUCAGCGGAAGAUGUAGGCAGAAGCCACAGUGCCGUGAACUGAGCAAGUGAAGAUGAGAAAAUAGGAUAAGCAGGUGCAGAGCCCCCUUUUGGGAAAGUGGGCAGGAAGAAUAGACAGUGGCUGAAACGUGAUACAAUACUAAACCUUCUGAUUUUGUCUUUUUUUUUUUUUAAGAUGGUAGGGACUUGAACUUGGGUGUCCACUACAAAAAGGUACCGGUAGAGAAGCUGAAUUUGAAAGUCGAGGAAAACAGGGAGAGAUGGAGUGAGACCCUGGAGGUGAUGAGGGCAGGUCGGGUCAAGGGCUCCUGCAGAACUGGGCCCUGACCUCCAUGGGCUGAGGGCGAGGAUGGGGCGGGGGGUAAGGCUACAAGGUGCCAGCAGGCAAGCGGCUGAGGUAGUCGUGCCCAGGGAUCACCGCCUUUUCCGUCUUGAGCUGAGGAAGGGACGGAGGCUUGGCUGAAGAACAAGGAAAACCUCGCCAGAGAAGAAUCAUCCUGCCGUGAACUUGUUGCUGUUGCCUUUGCUCUUGUGAUCAGUGCAGCACGGUUUCCCUCUCUCGUUGGUAACCGCACAUCAGUUUUCCUUGAAGAGGGAAUUCCCUCCACGGCGCAGUGGGUUAAGGAUCCAACUGCAGGAGUUCCCGUCGUGGCGCAGUGGUUAACGAAUCCGACUAGGAACCAUGAGGUUGCAGGUUCCAUCCCUGCCUUGCUCAGUGGGUUAAGAUCCGGCGUUGCGGUAGCUGUGGUGUAGGUCGAAGACUCGGCUCAGAUCCUGCGUUGCUGUGGCUCUGGUGUAGGCCGGCAGCUACAGCUCCAAUUUGACCCCUAGCCUGGGAACCUCCACAUGCCGC